rnacentral:rRNA from 1 species
UACAGAGGUCCCAAGCGUUGUUCGGAUUCACUGGGCGUAAAGGGUGCGUAGGCGGUUGGGUAAGUCUGUCGUGAAAUCUCCGAGCCUAACUCGGAAACUGCGUCGGAUACUAUCCAACUUGAGGAAUGGAGGGGAGACUGGAAUUCUCGGUGUAGCAGUGAAAUGCGUAGAUAUCGAGAGGAACACCAGUGGCGAAGGCGAGUCUCUGGACAUUUCCUGACGCUGAGGCACGAAGGCCAGGGGAGCAAACGGG